UACGUAGGGUGCAAGCGUUAUCCGGAAUUAUUGGGCGUAAAGAGCUCGUAGGCGGUUUGUCGCGUCUGCCGUGAAAGUCCGGGGCUCAACUCCGGAUCUGCGGUGGGUACGGGCAGACUAGAGUGAUGUAGGGGAGACUGGAAUUCCUGGUGUAGCGGUGAAAUGCGCAGAUAUCAGGAGGAACACCGAUGGCGAAGGCGGCAUCCUGGACCAACACUGACGCUGAGUGAGCGAAAGCCAGGGGAGCAAACGGG
rnacentral:rRNA from 1 species